rnacentral:rRNA from 1 species
GAUGAACGCUGGCGGCGUGCUUAACACAUGCAAGUCGAACGAAGCACUUUAUUUGAUUUCCUUCGGGACUGAUUAUUUUGUGACUGAGUGGCGGACGGGUGAGUAACGCGUGGGUAACCUGCCUUGUACAGGGGGAUAACAGUUGGAAACGGCUGCUAAUACCGCAUAAGCGCACAGCAUCGCAUGAUGCAGUGUGAAAAACUCCGGUGGUAUAAGAUGGACCCGCGUUGGAUUAGCUAGUUGGUGAGGUAACGGCCCACCAAGGCGACGAUCCAUAGCCGACCUGAGAGGGUGACCGGCCACAUUGGGACUGAGACACGGCCCAAACUCCUACGGGAGGCAGCAGUGGGGAAUAUUGCACAAUGGGCGAAAGCCUGAUGCAGCGACGCCGCGUGAGCGAAGAAGUAUUUCGGGAUGUAAAGCUCUAUCAGCAGGGAAGAUAAUGACGGUACCUGACUAAGAAGCACCGGCUAAAUACGUG